rnacentral:tRNA from 1 species
AGCGGGAUGGGGCUUUAGUAGCCUUAGAUGACUACCGACCCGAGAGCCAGGAGUGCCCGGAGGGCUCAUAACCCUCAGAUGUUGUAAGAUUUCUUGCAAUAGAGGAAGUCGAUGGUUCAAAUCCAUCUCCCGCUA